UCUCCGUAGGUGAACCUGCGGAGGGAUCAUUACAGAGUUCAUGCCCUUACGGGUAGAUCUCCACCCUAUGUUAUCGUUACCUUGGUUGCUUUGGCGGGCCGUCAGGCCUCGGUCAGACUACCGGCUCCGGCUGGUAAGUGCCCGCCAGAGGAUAUCAAACCUUGAAUUUAAUGUCGUCUGAGUACUAUAUAAUAGUUAAAACUUUCAACAACGGAUCUCUUGGUUCUG
rnacentral:misc_RNA from 1 species